rnacentral:lncRNA from 1 species
GACAGAGACGAGGAGUUGGAUUUUGGGCUCGACGAGAGGACGAUCUAGUUAGACGGCAGUAGCGACCGUCACCCUGGUUAUUUCUUUCCCGCACUUAGUAGUUUUCUUAAUAAUGGUUCAGUUAGCUGAUCUUAUGUAUGCUUGAAUGUAUGUGAACUGUGGUGUUGGUUUCUUUUAUACAUGAGAUUGGAGUUUUCGAUCUGUGGUUUUGGUUCUGUGGAGAUUUGGUUUUCUUGUAGUGAUGCAUCGUGGUUUUCUACACCUCGAGGUAGUCGGUUUUCAAAAAUAGAGUUUCCGUGUGGGAAACAGUUUUAAAAAGGUUUUCGAACGUUUUUUAUGAAUGAAUGAAUUAGAGUUUAAAAACAAAAGCUUCCGUGUGGGGAGCACUUUUAAGUAGGAUGUUUGUUGUAUUGUGCAUUGCAUCAUCCAGCGCCUAAGGAGUGCUUAGAGGCAUGCAUCAUUCUAAGGAUUGUUAGCUGUAUGGAAAUACAUAUCAUGCUUUGGUUGUUGUUUGGUAAAUGUAGGUUGUGGUUGUGAUCCUGUUGUAUCGUUGGUACGCCGUGCAAAUACAAAGGAGACUCUGUCCGAGUGGACAGAGGAACUUUGUAUUUGUGGCGGGUCUGUACGUCGCGUGGGCCAGGUUGAAAAAAAAAAAAAGGCACGUUUUCCGCAACUCUGUUUUAAAAA